GAAUUUGCCAACUUCCCUCUGAGGUCCAGACUCUGAAAGCCAACUGUGGAAUGUCUGAGUUUCCAUCAGGCCUGGUGCUUGCAGGCUGCUGCUAUGUCAGGAAGAACCCCACAGCUCAACUGUCCUAUAAACAUCUUGCCCCUCUGCUGAGUGCUGUUGGUGCAGCCUUCCUUCUCCGAGCCGAGAAUAUGCUGUCUGAGAGUCACAGGCUGAAUGUUAACUAACACAGGAGCACAGCUGACCGCUCUCUUCUACAGGCCAGUGGCUGCUCUAAGAAAACACAUUCACGUGAACAUAACAAGAACAGGAAGAGGAGCCCAGAUUUUCCUCACCAUGUGCCACCCAGCCAUGUUUACACUGAUCGCAAGUCCUCAGGUUAAUCUUCCCCGGCUGAAAACAUUCACAUGUGCAGUUUACCAACGUGCAACGGAUGGCCUGAAAAACAGAGCAGGAAAAAAGAUCAGCAUCUGUUCAAAGGUACUAUACUUUUUUCACAAUUUUUAAUAAAUAAUUCCCACUUCUAUUUUUAAAGGCUAUUUCUUUUGGUGGAGGCCUAGAGAAUUUUGAAAAUAAAUAUUGAUAUCAUCAAAAUCUCUUACCAAAAAAAAAAAAAAAGUAAGAGAAACAAAGCUCAUUCAGAAUCAUAUUUUAAAUCACUCAUAGUAACCUUUAAAUUAGAAAUGUAGACCAAGGAGAAUAAGAAUAAAGGAUUAUAUAUUCUACAAAAUGCAGAAAUCCAAAAAAGAAACAAAUGGUACUACUAAUUUAUUUCCAUUUAAGUUUAUCCACUUUCUAAUAAUGAAAAAGAAAAUACAUCUUAAUAAUGUUAAAGUGAAAUGUUUAUACAAUUAAAUGCAACAGAAAAAUACUGUUACAAUAGUACUUCUGAAUUUCAUUUAAAUACUUUGCUAAUCUGUCAGAUAUUUCGAGAGACACUCCUGUUUUCUCAAUAAGACUUAGCAUAUUUAUAUUAUUAUUUAUCAUUUUCCCUUAGGGAUUUUUUUCUUUGAUUAUUAAUUCUUACUUUCUUUCCCAUUUUGCAAACUAUAAAACAAUUCUCCUUUUAUUUUAAUGGUGAGAGAAGAAAAUAAGUUUCAAUUGACUUUUUAAGAGCAGAAUGCAGGAAAAGCCAUUUAUGUGAACAUUUUAUACCUGGAACAGUACAACUCUAUCUUAGAAAACAGAAACCCACACAAAAACUCUUUUAUUUCCUCACCAGGACUUUAAAAAUUCAUCUUGCCAGUUUAUAUUAUAAAGUGAAAUCCACUGAAAAUUAGCAUAAAUGGAGUGUAACAUUUUAUGAAUAAAAACUUCUGGUAAAGAAUUGUGCUAAUGCUGACCUGUGCUCCUAGACUACAGUUAAUAAAUUUAUCUCAUACAUUUAAUUCUAAUUUGCAUGGAAAUUCUGAAGACAGAAGGGAUUUGGUCUGAUCAUUCACAGAUUAACAAUCUACUGUAACUACCUGAACUUCCCGGAAAAGAUCUCUCUGCAGAUUUAGAUGCAAUCAGAGAUUACUGAUCUUGGGUGCAGGCAUGGGUUCUGUGAGCACAACUCAGCUCUGUGUCUGAAAGCUACACUCACCUCACAUGCUCACAUUCCUGGAACCAUUUGGAUUUUUAUAUAAACUAGCUGACUUGUAACAGGAAGUAUGUUAGAUAAUCUUAACAUGUGCAGAGACUAAGGCUGAAUGGGCUUCUCCUGUUCCUUAUGUUCUGGAUCAGGCAACUUUAGUAAUUUCUCUUUCACUGAUUUACAUUAACUCAAUGGGUGCUUCUUGAGUUUCAGAUGUUGGAGUCCUCACUGUUUUCUUCUUUGAUACUUCACUCUCACUCCUAAUUUGUUUUUUCUGUUUACCUCUAGGGAAAUAAUUAUAAAAUCUGCCUGAUAUUUCAGGGACUGUCUUCCAAUGUCAUUUGUCCAAUUAUAUAUUAGCUAGGCUGUAAAACUUUACUGCAUGUAUCAGCAAUUAAAGGAAUGCAUAGGUUAUAAAGGGAAAUAAUUCUCCCCAAAGUUCUUAUUUCAAUUUCAAUGUUUUUUUUUAACUUAGCAAUGUAUCUGAACAUCCUAACUGACAAAUAGUUUCUUUAUAUAACAUAUUUGUUAGUUAGCAAACUCACAAUUUGAUUGUACUAUGCCCCCCAAAAAGUUCAGAGCACAGUAUUUCCACUAAAAACAAGAUGCUUUACAGUCUACCAAAUUAUAAAUUCAGAUAUGAAAACUAUAUUAACGUUAACAUUUGAAGUGCAAUAAUAAUAACAUUCGCAAAGGAUUAAUUAUUUUAAAAAAUCCCUCUGCUUUAUCAAAAUCAAGGGAAGGACAAUAAAAAGGAAUUAUUUUUCAAGGACUAUCUUUAACCCAGGCAUCAACAACAUAAGCCACUUUAAAUCACUGAUUUGGUGAUAUUAUUUUACAAAAAUGCCCUAAUUUGGUAUCAUGUUUAAAGCACACCUUCAACUUUCAUUACAGCUAUAUUCAAUGCCAGAAUAGAUUGGAGACUGUAGGUUUGCUUUAUUUUAUAUAUAUAUAUAUUUAUUUUGUCACUAGCCGAAUCAUUCAUUCACUUACUCUGAACUACUUUAUUAUUCAAAUAUUUUCUCUUCCUAAAUAAUUUUAUAUGUCUGGUACAUUUGGGAAUUAAACUUCUCAGAUCAUCAUCCCUUUCUACGAAUUCUACUCUUUUUGUACCUAAAUAUAUAAACACUGGAACACCUCAACUCCUUUUGUAUAUAAACACUUAAGCACUGGAAUAGCCAUUUUGUAUCUCUAUGAAUUCCAGAAGGUCUAUUUGUUUUAAAUUCAGAUUUAUAUAGACUACAAUUAUUCCUUAAGGGAAUUAUAUAUAUUUAAACAAUAUGGUCUAAAUAAAUAUUUUGAGUGAGAGACUAUUGUGGCUUCAAAGUAAGUUUUAUUCUAAACAACAUUUUUUGAAACUGCAUAAAACUUUGACAUGCUAUUUAUUCACAACAAAACAGAACCAAUGUGAUCACUUGCCAACUCACCCACACUUAAAAAACAUAAAUUAUCAUAAAACUAUCAAAGCCAGUUAUGCCUCAAAAAUGCACAUGCAUUACAAGAAGAGUAGAAAUGGAUGAGCUCUCAUUCUGGUAAGCAGGUUUGCUUCUUCCUUCCCUGGGCAAAUCAGGAGCGCCUCCCACUCUCUGUGGGGGCACUCAGUGUAAGACCAAGCUAUAUGCAUCACAUUAUCUGAGCUACAGACAUUGGAAUUCCAGUGAUGAAGAAAGUGCAAACAGUUCAUAGUCACACUACUCCCACCUCUGUGCAGGGAACAGCAUUCCCAUCUAGCUGAUGCAGAUACCAGUUCUCCAGGACCCCCCUCAUCAGAGGUGCCCUGUAACUCUUUCCUCAAUUCUUCUAUGAUUACCAUUUCCCCAACUGCUGGAGGACAACAACUUAAAUUUUCUUCAGCCUGCAUUUAUUGAAAAUAAUUAUUCCUUCUGCUUACCUGAACCAGGGAUUUCUUGAAAGAGAAAUCCAUGCACUCAGCAACCAGUGCUUCCACUUCCUGGCCACCACCUACAUUUUAACUCUGCUGGCUAUCUGGAUUCUGCCCCUCACUCCCUCACAAUGUGCUCUCUGAUAGGCAAUGUUCUCAUCACAUCUGGUCCCCUUUUCUAGUCUCCCCUAGCUCCUUAGACGUUGAUGCAGCUUGUAGCACUAACUCCUUCAUUCUGGGCGGUAGAGACGGACAAUCCUAGUUUUUCUGGCAGCAACGUCUCACUUUCUCUCCACUGUAAAUAAAUACAGGUGUUUUCCAGAGCCAGACUCUUCAUUCUUAAAUUUGGCAAUUUCAUUCUCUCCUACGGCUUUAAAUAUCACUAUGUAAAAACCCAUCACUUUGUAGCCAGGGACUGUGCUAAGUGGCAGGAAAUGCAAGGCAGUGUCCCUGCGCAAGGGGCCUGACAGUUUGGCACUUUUUGCCAAAAAAAGUGGAGAGUGGAUUUAGACCACAGGCUCAAAGAAGAAGAAGAAGGAAGUCCUUAAACCAGUUUAAAAAAUGCCAUCCCUUCCUCUCUAUUACCCGUAAAUUUUUAUUCAUUUUUGCAACAGUAAAGAAUUGCCUGCGACUUACUGAAUAUUUUGCCAUUUUCCAGACUUUGAUAGGUAGUUGACAAAUACUAGGUCUCUGAAUCCUCAGAAAAUAUCAUGAGCUUGAUAUUAUUACUCCUUUAAUUUCACAAAUAAGGAAACUGAGUCAGAAAGAACUAGGCACCUUGCCAAAGUCAUUCAACUAGUAAAGUCAAAGGUGCAAGUUUGUGUGAGUGUCCCUCCCAAGUGAUUAGGGACCUUGAAUUAGAAUCUCACUCCCAGAGAGGCAAUCAUGGAACAGAGCAGAGCCUUCCUCCAAAAAUGCUCUCUCUCUCUCUUUCCUGCCUUUCACUUGGUUACUAUCCUAAUUCCAGUCUUUUUUUCUAGAUUACUCAAAGUGGCUCUAAUUAAUCUACCCAUUCCUCUUUUCUCCCCAUUCCAGUGAACAUUCUCUCUUCUCAAAUUCCCACAUAUUUGACUCUUCCAUGUGGCAUUUGCUUUACUGAGGCUAUAUCUUUGACCUCUUGUCAGCAAAAUCAGUGGGUGGGAAUCCUAUCUGAUUAGCCAGUGGAUCUCCCCCUCCCUGUCCACUGCCUAUUUCUCCAAGGCAAUGCUCUCCUCUCCACCUGCCUACCUUCCAACCCCUGCUCUGCACUGUGAGCUUCUGCUAUUCUUCAGACUUCACUCUGAUAUCACUCAUUCCCAUGGCAACUGUCCUAGUCUUCCAUUCAAAGCAAGUUCCCUAGCAGUCUCCUGCAUCACAAGGGAUCUGUCUGUCAUAGCACUAAUCACAGGUUAUGACUACUGUAUUGACCUGUGUGAUUAUUUGAUUUGGGUUUGUAUUGCCUCUAGAAUUUAAAAGGUAAGACAUCUGCUGGGCUUGUAUGCUGGCAAAUAAACAGGUGCUCAAAGGGCACUAAAAUAUGUGAUUUCCCCAAGCUUCUUUUCUCAAAUGUAAAAUGAUGGUAGCAAUGACAUCAAAACUGUGUCAAAAGACUCACAUGAAAUAAUAUAGAGUACAUGGUACCCUGCCUGGCAACAAUAGAAACUCAAUAAAUGACAACCAUCUAUAUUGCCUCCAGAAACUUUCCACAUAUUAUAUUUGAAUGAUUCUUUUAUUCCCUUCUAAUUCUUCCCAAUAUAUUAAGUUUUAUUCUAAUACCUUGCAAAAUGUUUAAUGCAUAUUUAGUCUUAAUGAAUAAAUGAACACUUUGUAUUUGUAUUACACAUAAUACCAUAUCAUGCAUACUAUAACCCUAUAAGAUAGGCACAAGGAUUAUUAUCUCUUGUUUUAAGGCUCUUAAAUGAUAUAGUGGAGAGGAAGACAAAUCUCUCAAUUACUACUGAUAGUUUCAGCUACUCAGAGGCUAAGGCAGGGGGAUUGCUUGAGCCCACUUGGGCAACAAAGCAAGACCUCCCCCCCGCCCCCAAAAAAAAGAACAUCUAAAAUACACAAACUAGGAAGUUACUAAAAAUCAAUCAUGGUUUGGUUUUAUUUAAUAUUUGAAUAUUAAAUUAAAGUGCAUUUGGAAGUUUUUGGAUAUGUUCCAAAGUUCUAUACAAAUGAUACAUUCAGUUAUCACUAAAACUGUAGUCUCUUUUGCUUUAUUACACUCAUAACUGGCUUGAACUCUGCAAGCAUAUGUGAAUUGAACAUCAAUCUUCUUACAAAUGACAUUUCUCAGGAAAGCACAAAUUGUUGCUUCAGUUAAUAUGUAGUGCACCUCACAAAGAACCACACACAGGCUAAUUAAUUGUUAGCUAUUCCUUGUUUGGGAACAUCUACACAAGUUACCUGACAAAAAAUAACAAAAAGCAACAUAAGGCCAUGGGGCAAAAAGAAACAUAAAACACAUAUUUUAAAGGAACAAUCCUAGUAGAGGGUGGGGCUCUAAAAAUAAAACUGAUUCAGUUGGGUUUUGUUUCUACAAAAAAAAGAAAAAGAAAAAAAAACACCACCUUUUCAUAGGUACUUUCUUGUAUCUCCCAUGUGUAAAUAAACCCCCCCCCCCUUUUUUUUUUUUUUUUUUUUGGUACUGGGGAUAGAACCUCUGGGCACUUAACCACUGGGCCACAUCCCCAGCCCUUUUUAAAAAAAAAUUUUUUUUUUAAUUUUAUUUAGACAUAGGGUCUCCUUGAAUUGCUAAGUGCCCCACUAAGUUGCUGAGACUUGUUUUAAACUCAUGAUCCUCUUGCCUCAGCCUCCUGAGUCGCUGGGAUUACAGCAUGCACCACCACACCAGGCAAAGCCAAAACCCCUUCUUAAAUCUUUUUUUCCUUCUUUAUUUCUGGAACGUAUAGAGGAAUUUACCACUUGGAUUAUGAAAUUUUACUUGAAACACUUCUAAACAUUUAAUACUUAAGUACAUGACCCACAUUAAAAUUCAAUUAUAGAAGAAGCUAAUCACCAAUAUAACAUUCAUUCCACCCCACUAGUUUCUACUGUAAACUUAGGUGGUACAAUUUAGGUGUAUAAAUUAAUUGGCUACAAUGACUACCAGUGACAGGUUCACCUUUUCUAUUUUUAACAAGAAUAAAUAUUUUUAUUAAAUUGAAUCUUCUAUUUUGAAAGUCAUAUACAGAUACUCUGCAAAGUUGGCAAACUAUAAGGAUCUAAAAUAAAAGUCUACAUUGUAAUUAACUCUUAUCAAUUCAUCACUACAUUUAUCAUUCACCUCUGAACAUACACACCUAUCCCAGAGGAAAGGUGUGCAUGGUGUCAAAGGUCAAAUGAACAAUUUCAGGAGAUAGGAAAACUUCAUCAAAGACUUCAAUCUUGGGGGGGGGCGGGGUUAUAGAAUAGAAAAGUAUCUCUAAUAAAUUUGAAAGUUAACUAUUCCAGAACUGUUACAGAAUAUAUGCAGUAAUCGCUGAGUAACAACAACCAGGCAGUUUGGAUUAAAAGGAUAACCAAAAAUAUGGGCCAAGCAUAUUCACACUUCAUGUAUAUGACCGUAAAAAUCUACUACAAAUAUUGCCCCAAACACUCUAAGGACCUUGGAUGACAGUACUGGUGAUCAUAUCAGAAAAUCUCUCUCUGUUAAAAUGUUCAGGAGAUUUUUUCUCUUACACCAUGGAUAAUAUGAAACAUUAACUGAAAACAACCAACUUCCUAGUACCUUGAGUUUGCUAAGCUAGAAGAUACCAUAUUUGUAGAAAAAAAAUCAGCUUCCUAAAUUGGUCAAAUCAUGAUGCAGUUUGAACAAAGAAAUUCUCUCUUUAUAACAAUUAAAAAAUACAGGACAACCACUGAGUUUACUUAUUACCAUUAUGAACUACACAACUGCUUGAGAAAUUGACUUGGGUUACAAAACUUUUACAUGAGAAAAAUAAAAAAGCAUUCACCUGUUGUACUACUAUAGGGUCUUACAAUCACAUUAGAUAAAUCAAAAUUAGAUAAAAUACAAAUUAGAAAGACAUAGAUACAAUCACAUUAGAUAAAUAAAAAUUAGAUAAAAUAUGAAUUAGAAAGACAGAGAACAUGGACCAAAAAACUCUUGGUUAUAAAGAUCUUACCAAAAUCCAAUUUAAAAAGUCUAACACUGACCAUAACACUAUUAAUUAGUAAGGUAGGUAUGUUCUCUAAAUUUAUGCAAAAAUAUAUAUAAAUCUGUGCUUAAAUAGGCACUGCACAGAGUUUAUAAGAAAACCUUACUAUAAAAGUUAAGAGCCCAGAAGAGUAUUAAAACUAUCACGUAAAUGCCGAAACUCAUGAUAGUAAUAAUGUAACAGUAAUAACAGCAAAUGAAAAGCAAUGAAGCUAUUCUGUCUGCUUACACAGCCAUUUAAAAUUUCAUAUAAUGAAAAAUUAUGGCAAGACUAUAUAUCCUGUAUGGUGGUGAGAAAACCAGAAAAAAAUUUAAAUCAAUUAAUCUUUCAAAAACAAAAAACUUUACAUUUGUAUAUUUGUUUUUAAUGGCACAUGAAGAAAUGGCAAACUGAUAAAAGUGAUCACUUUGUUGUACCUAUAUACUCUAAAACUUCUUGGUGUCUUUUCAACAGAAAGCAAGUUAUUCCAUUGUGUGACUGAGUCAGAAGAUUUGAAAACACAAGACUCCAUCUAGAGUCACCACGAAGACCAGAUGCCAUAGAUUUUUAAAAAAUAUUUUAUUAGUUAUUGAUGGACUUUUAUUUAUUUGUGUACAUGUGGUACUGAGAAUGGAACCCAGUGCCUUCACAUGUGAGGCAAGCGCUGUACCGCUGAGCCAUGGAUUUAAACACUGGACAAUGUGGUGAACAUAGAAGACUGGUCAGUUCAAAGAUGGUUAAAUUUUAACAAACACCAAAAGGAAACAAAUUAUAAACCAAGGAAACAAUGUUGUCUCUACAACAGACAGAUCCAAAGAAACAGAGAAGAUUAACUGGGGAAGGCUGACCUUUGAACACCAUUACUGUUAAAAAUCAGGAGAUUUAAAACCUCACUUUGAGUUCGUUUUUUUAAAAAAAGCACUAACCACAGGUUACCAUGGCACAUGCCUGAAAUCCCAGCAAUUCUAGAGGCUGAGGCAUGAGGAUCAUAAGUUUGAAACCAGCCUCAGCAACUUAGUGAAGCCCUAAGCAAAUUAUUGGAGAGACUCUGUCUCAAAAUGAAAAGAAUAAAGAGGACUAGGGACAUGGCUCAGUAGUUGUGCAUCCCUGAGUUCUAUCCCUGAUACAAAAAAAAAAAAAAGCACUAACCAUCCAUCAAAUAACAUACGGAUAAACACAUGGGUACAUUCAUAUAAUAGAAUAUUAACUGGCCAUAAAAAGAAAGGAAUACAGAUACACACUAAAACAUGAAUGAACCUUGAAAACAUUAUGCAAAGUUGAAUAAGCAAGUCACUAAAAGCAGUAUGAUCCCAUGCAUAUGAAAUGUCCACAACAGGGGUUUCUUUUGUAAAGAUUAAAAAAUAGGGAAGGGGUUGUGGCUCAGCGGUAGAGCAUUCACCUAGCACAUGCAAGGCCCUAGGUUCAAUUCUCAGAACCACAUAAAAAUAAAUAAAUAAAAUAAAUGUAAAAAAAAUAAAGAUAACUAGCUGAGCUGCCUAGGAUUUGGGGUGGGGCUGGUAUGGUGUCACAGCUGAAUGAUACGGAGUAGUCGCUAUUCCAUCAUAGCACUUAUUUUUAGUGGUGCUAACGGUUUAAUUCCAUAAGAUUUCGUACCUAGGAGAUGUAAUGCAGCACUAUAUCUUUCAC
rnacentral:lncRNA from 1 species